CGACAAAAAAUGUACAUUAGGGAAAAUAUCUUUGUCACAAUUUUUUAGUGCUUCUAAACCAAUUUUAAACAUGGUAUCCCCAAUUGUAUUUUUCCAAAUUUGUAAUUCACUCAUACAUGUAUCAAGUACUGUUAUUUUACGGAAUACAAUUAGGUAUAUGAACUAUGAAUUUAUUUUUAUUAUAAUUCAAGCGUAUUAAUUAAUAUCUAUACGGCUAUUCAUUACGAUAUAAUAAUACAUCAUAUAAUCAAAGAGCUAUGGGAGUGGAUCUGUCUUUAUCGGAUUCGAAUUUGUAUUUUCGUAUCGUUGAACCUUUAAACUCUAAACCAUUAAAUUUAAUUAAAUCAUAGAAAAUCAGAACCUAGGUACCUAUAUUAUCAAUCGAAUAUACAUUGUGAAAUCUACUUCAAUCAAUCCCAUAUCGCGUGU